rnacentral:piRNA from 1 species
UUGGAGUAUGCCUAGUCUGUCCUUGCCUCC